GCCAGGUGUGGUAGUGCGCACCUGUAGUCCCAGCUACUUGGGAGGCUGAGGCAGGGGAAUUGCUUGAACCCGGGAGGCAGAGGUUGCAGUGAGCCGAGACGGUGCCAUUGCACUCCAGCCUGGGCAACAGAGCAAGACUCUGUCUCUA
rnacentral:SRP_RNA from 2 species